rnacentral:rRNA from 1 species
GUCGAGGGGCAGCAUCAUUAAAGCUUGCUUUGAUGGAUGGCGACCGGCGCACGGGUGAGUAACACGUAUCCAACCUGCCGACAACACUGGGAUAGCCUUUCGAAAGAAAGAUUAAUACCGGAUGGCAUAGUCUUCCCGCAUGGGAUGACUAUUAAAGAAUUUCGGUUGUCGAUGGGGAUGCGUUCCAUUAGGCAGUUGGCGGGGUAACGGCCCACCAAACCAACGAUGGAUAGGGGUUCUGAGAGGAAGGUCCCCCACAUUGGAACUGAGACACGGUCCAAACUCCUACGGGAGGCAGCAGUGAGGAAUAUUGGUCAAUGGACGAGAGUCUGAACCAGCCAAGUAGCGUGAAGGAUGACUGCCCUAUGGGUUGUAAACUUCUUUUAUACGGGAAUAAAGUGAGCCACGUGUGGCUUUUUGUAUGUACCGUAUGAAUAAGGAUCGGCUAACUCCGUGCCAGCAGCCGCGGUAAUACGGAGGAUCCGAGCGUUAUCCGGAUUUAUUGGGUUUAAAGGGAGCGUAGGCGGACGCUUAAGUCAGUUGUGAAAGUUUGCGGCUCAACCGUAAAAUUGCAGUUGAUACUGGGUGUCUUGAGUACAGUAGAGGCAGGCGGAAUUCGUGGUGUAGCGGUGAAAUGCUUAGAUAUCACGAAGAACUCCGAUUGCGAAGGCAGCCUGCUGGACUGUAACUGACGCUGAUGCUC